GGAAGUAAAAGUCGUAAACAAGGUUUCCGUAGGUGAACCUGCGGAAGGAUCAUUAUUGUAUAACCGAGGUGCGAGGGCUGUCGCUGACCCGAAAGGUCGUGCACGCCCGAGUGCCCUCACACACAUCCAUCUCACCCCUAUGUGCACCACCGCAUGGGUCCCCCUUUGGCUUGUUCGGAGGGGGGCUUACGUUUUCACACAAACUUUGUAUGCAGUGUAGAAUGUAUUUUUUGUUUUUGCGAUCACGCAAUCAAUACAACUUUCAACAACGGAUCUCUUGGCUCUC
rnacentral:misc_RNA from 1 species